rnacentral:rRNA from 1 species
AAUAGAUACCCAGGUAGUCCACGCCGUAAACGAUGAGUGCUAAGUGUUAGGGGGUUUCCACCCCUUAGUGCUGCAGCUAACGCAUUAAGCACUCCGCCUGGGGAGUACGACCGCAAGGUUGAAACUCAAAGGAAUCGACGGGGACCCGCACAAGCGGUGGAGCAUGUGGUUUAAUUCGAAGCAACGCGAAGAACCUUACCAAAUCUUGACAUCCUCUGACCCCUCUAGAGAUAGAGUUUUCCCCUUCGGGGGACAGAGUGACAGGUGGUGCAUGGUUGUCGUCAGCUCGUGUCGUGAGAUGUUGGGUUAAGUCCCGCAACGAGCGCAACCCUUGAUCUUAGUUGCCAGCAUUCAGUUGGGCACUCUAAGGUGACUGCCGGUGACAAACCGGAGGAAGGUGGGGAUGACGUCAAAUCAUCAUGCCCCUUAUGACCUGGGCUACACACGUGCUACAAUGGAUGGUACAAAGGGCUGCAAGACCGCGAGGUCAAGCCAAUCCCAUAAAACCAUUCUCAGUUCGGAUUGUAGGCUGCAACG